AGAAAGGCAAGGCCACCUCGCCACAGCUUCAGCUCUUGAAAGCCCUGUUCACAGCAGCCUGUGGGACAGGAAACAUUGACUAAGUCUUCACUGUGUUGGCCAGGAUCAAGAACCUACUUUCAAGAACUGUCCCUUGGAUCAACGGGACCAAAAAUACACAGUAUAUAAUCCUUGUGUUACUGCAGUGGGGAAAUUUUCUCUUUUCAAG